AACGCGAAGAACCUUACCUGGGCUUGACAUGCAGUUGACGGUAACAGAGAUGUUACCUUCCCGCAAGGGACGACUGCACAGGUGCUGCAUGGCUGUCGUCAGCUCGUGCCGUGAGGUGUUGGGUUAAGUCCCGCAACGAGCGCAACCCUUGUCGUCAGUUGCCAACACGUAAUGGUGGGAACUCUGACGAGACUGCCUAGGUUAACUAGGAGGAAGGUGAGGAUGACGUCAAGUCCGCAUGGCCUUUAUGCCCAGGGCUACACACGUGCUACAAUGGCCGGUACAGAAGGCUGCAAUACCGCGAGGUGGAGCAAAUCCCCAAAGCCGGCCCCAGUUCAGAUUGUAGUCUGCAACUCGACUACAUGAAGUUGGAAUUGCUAGUAAUGGCGAGUCAGCAACAUCGCCGUGAAUACGUUCCCGGGCCUUGUACACACCGAUACUC
rnacentral:rRNA from 1 species